CCAACAGUGAUGACGUAAUUUCAGUGUAUAAAUAACCAAUCGAACGCUGGUGACGUUCUUCUUGGAGACGGUGCCAUCUGGUAGAGACACCCCUCAACGACAUGAGGGCCAAGUGGAGAAAGAAGCGUAUGCGCAGGCUGAAGCGCAAGAGGCGAAAGAUGAGGCAGAGGUCCAAGUAGACUGCCACCCCACAACACCAUGGCUGUGACCGUCCUUCUGGACAACACUGGACCAAGGAUCUCCUUGUGCAAAGUCUGAUCAGAGCUGUGCCAUCCAUGCCAAUGAGUCUCGAUCAAGAGACUCCACCCGCCUGGGAGAUUUGAUAUGGGGACACUCUAGAUUCUCUACUCUUCUACCAAACCUACCCUACUACAUUGUUUUUGUUUAUACUUUCCCAAUAAAGUUUCUGGUUUAAAGUUGA